rnacentral:rRNA from 1 species
UACGUAUGGAGCAAGCGUUAUCCGGAUUUACUGGGUGUAAAGGGAGCGCAGGCGGCGCGCCAAGUCUGAUGUGAAACCCCGGGGCUCAACCCCGGGCAUGCAUUGGAAACUGGCGGGCUGGAGUGCCGGAGAGGUAAGCGGAAUUCCUAGUGUAGCGGUGAAAUGCGUAGAUAUUAGGAGGAACACCAGUGGCGAAGGCGGCUUACUGGACGGCAACUGACGCUGAGGCUCGAAAGCGUGGGGAGCAAACAGG